AUUGAACGCUGGCGGCAGGCCUAACACAUGCAAGUCGAACGAGUGGCGGACGGGUUAGUAAUGUCUGGGAAACUGCCUGAUGGCGGGGGCUAACUACUGGAAACGGUAGAUAAUACCGCAUACCCUCGGAUGUGACCAGAUGGGAUUAGCUAGUAGGUGGGGUAAAGGCGCACCUAGGCGACGAUCCCUAGCUGGUCUGAGAGGAUGACCAGCCACACUGGAACUGAGACACGGUCCAGACGCCUACGGGAGGGAGCAGUGGGGAAUAUUGCACAAUGGGCGAAAGCCUGAUGCAGCCAUGCCGCGUGUAUGAAGAAGGCCUUCGGGUUGUAAAGUACUUUCAGCGGGGAGGCGUUACCCGCAGAAGAAGCACCGGCUAACUCCGUGCCAGCAGCCGCGGUAAUAC
rnacentral:rRNA from 1 species